ensembl:miRNA
GUGUUGGCUGUGGCGUGACUGUCCCUCUGUGUCCCCCACUAGGCCCACUGCUCAGUGGAGCGUGGAGGACGAGGAGGAGGCCGUCCACGAGCAAUGCCAGCAU